UACGAAGGGGGCUAGCGUUGCUCGGAAUCACUGGGCGUAAAGGGUGCGUAGGAGGGCAGGUAAGUCAGUGGUGAAAUCUCCAAGCUUAACUUGGAAACUGCCGUUGAUACUAUCUGUCUUGAAUAUUGUGGAGGUGAGCGGAAUAUGUCAUGUAGCGGUGAAAUGCUUAGAUAUGACAUAGAACACCAAUUGCGAAGGCAGCUCACUACUCAAUCAUUGACUCUGAGGCACGAAAGCGUGGGGUUCAAACAGG
rnacentral:rRNA from 1 species